CCUAGUUGAAUGAAAGACCCGUUUCUAUUGGCCACUACAGUCACCAUUUGGCCACGCCCACCACGGAAGUCUGCCACCGAGGAGAGCGAUGCUGUGCUAUGGAGAGCGGAAUAUUGUUUGUAAGAUGAUUCUUCACUAGAGGUUACAUUGAAGUCAGGCAAUGACAGGAAGGAUGGCUGGGGAUUCCAAGAUCUGAUAAAAAAAGUUACAUGAAGAUACUUGGACUACUCGUGGGACCAAAGAGCUAUUACACCAGCUCCAGUCUGGAUCCUGUCUCUAUCAGAUGACCCUACACAUAAGGAAAGUUCGGACAUCACGAGGACUUCAAAACUGUUCAAAGCGCUAUACAAAUAAAUGUGAACAAAAUUGAA